ACGGAAGGCAGCAGUGGGGAAUAUUGGGCAAUGGGGGCAACCCUGACCCAGCAACGCCGCGUGAAGGAAGGAGGCUUUCGGGUUGUAAACUUCUUUUACCAGGGACGAAGAAAGUGACGGUACCUGGAGAAAAAGCUACGGCUAACUACGUGCCAGCAGCCGCGGUAAUACGUAGGUAGCAAGCGUUGUCCGGAUUUACUGGGUGUAAAGGGCGUGUAGGCGGAGAUGCAAGUCAGGAGUGAAAUCUAUGGGCUUAACCCAUAAACUGCUUUUGAAACUGCAUCCCUUGAGUAUCGGAGAGGCAGGCGGAAUUCCUAGUGUAGCGGUGAAAUGCGUAGAUAUUAGGAGGAACACCAGUGGCGAAGGCGGCCUGCUGGACGACAACUGACGCUGAGGCGCGAAAGCGUGGGGAGCAAACAGGAUUAGAUACCCUGGUA
rnacentral:rRNA from 1 species